rnacentral:lncRNA from 1 species
GGCCGGGGGACUGUCGAUGUUAUUCCCAGACUAAAUUAGAUGCAUGAGCUCAGUUUUGGUAAUUGUAUGACGUAGGUUGAUUGUUGGAACCUAAAUCCUUUACGUUACGUUAAUAGGUCAUUAUAUGAAUCAAUGAUCCGACCGUUGGAUCGUCAUCAAACUUUUAUAUGUUAUAGUACGUAAUAUUUGAGGACCAUAGGAACUUACGGAUUGGGAAUCCAAUAUAGAAAUCUUCCGAAUUGUCUUUGGCAAUUGGUGAAGAUCCGACCGUUGGAUCGUAAUAGAACUUUAGGAAGUUGUUCUAAAAGUAUAAUGUGGACCUUUGGAAGUGAGGAUCUUCCGAAUCGAACUAUGUAGGGAUGUGUGUUAUGUAAGUUAUAUAUCUUAUUGAUAAAAAUUAUGAGUUGUGAUUUGAUAAUUGUUCUAAGCACCAAUCGUUCGUGACGCCUUUAUGGUUAUGCUAGGGAGUUGUAGCAUGAACUCCAGGUGAGUGGGCUUUUGUUUUCAGUAUAUAUAUGUAUGCUUGGUAUUUUUCCCAGAAAAUGCGUUUAAAUGGAAUUAUGUUUUGAAAUGCCAUGCCUCAUGAUUUAUACUUAGAUUAUGAGUUAUUAUAGUAUGCAUAUUGUGAUUUGACACUGUGGAUGCUCAAGUAAGUACCAGGUGAGUUAUAGAUUGUUAAUGUGAGUUGAUUAGUAUGUUAAGAUGCAUUGAGAGCUCAUAAACCUGCACACCAGUGUUAGUGCUCCCGCCCGUGGCUAGGGUACAGGCCUUCACGUGAUGUUCACCUCCCGCACCGCACGCUCACCUUGAAUCUAAGUGAGGUGCACAGGCCUGUCGUAUAAACCACUAUAGGUGGUUCCGACUCGUAGAUGACCCGCGAUUAUUCGCACAGUCUUCACGUGAUCGUAGCACUUGAGUGUAUUUAUUUACACCCAAUCUUGUCAUACAGACCACUAUAGGUGGUUCCGACUUGUGUGCAUGUAUACUUGAUGAGUUAUGGGUUCAGCUGUACAUGCCACAAUAGGUGGAUCCGGCUGACAUAUUACUUUCAUUGAUUUAUUUCACCUGGUUUACUCGUUAUUGAUGCUGAGAUAUUUGGCAUGGUAUAUAUGUGGAUUUUGCUAAUUCGAGUAUGGUUUCGAUAUAUGUAUAUAUUCUAUUUUCUGGGAAAUUAUACAGGUUUUACGGCGAGGGGUUACUAUCUUUAAUAAUUGA